AUUUUUGUUCGGUACGCAAGGAAAGAACAAGUGCUAAAACUUUUCACCUUUUGUUAUCAAUGAGAGCAAGGAUAGUAACACAAUGUAUGCUAAAGCAUACGAGGAGGCAACAACAAUGGAACAAGGUACAGUAAAAUGGUUUAACGCAGAAAAAGGAUUCGGAUUCAUCGAGCGCGAAGGCGGAGAAGACGUAUUCGUUCAUUUCUCAGCUAUUCAAGGCGAAGGUUUCAAAUCUUUAGACGAAGGCCAAGCAGUUACAUUUGACGUAGAGCAAGGUCAACGUGGACCUCAAGCAACUAACGUUCAAAAAGCUUAAUUUUAAGCUGACAUAUAAAACAGUCUCUUUUAUAGAGGCUGUUUUUUU
rnacentral:sRNA from 1 species